GCGGCGUCUUACACAUGCAAGUCGAACGAGAACGGGAUAUAGCUUGCUAUAUUUGUCAGCUAAGUGGCGCACGGGUGAGUAAUGUAUAGAUAACCUGCCCUUAAGAAAGGAAUAACAGUUGGAAACGACUGCUAAUGCCCUAUAUGCCUUUAAUACAUAAGUAUGCAAGGGAAACGCUUUAGUGCUUAAGGAUGGGUCUGUAUGGUAUCAGCUUGUUGGUGAGGUAAUGGCUCACCAAGGCUAUGACGCCUAACUGGUUUGAGAGGAUGAUCAGUCACACUGGAACUGAGACACGGUCCAGACUCCUACGGGAGGCAGCAGUGGGGAAUAUUGCACAAUGGACGAAAGUCUGAUGCAGCAACGCCGCGUGGAGGAUGACACAUUUCGGUGCGUAAACUCCUUUUAUAUAGGAAGAUAAUGACGGUACUAUAUGAAUAAGCACCGGCUAACUCCGUGCCAGCAGCCGCGGUAAUACGGAGGGUGCAAGCGUUACUCGGAAUCACUGGGCGUAAAGAGCGUGUAGGCGGGUAUAUAAGUCAGAAGUGAAAUCCAAUAGCUUAACUAUUGAACUGCUUUUGAAACUGUGUACCUAGAAUGUGGGAGAGGUAGAUGGAAUUUCUGGUGUAGGGGUAAAAUCCGUAGAGAUCAGAAGGAAUACCGAUUGCGAAGGCGAUCUACUGGAACAUUAUUGACGCUGAGACGCGAAAGCGUGGGGAGCAAACAGGAUUAGAUACCCUGGUAGUCCACGCCCUAAACGAUGUACACUAGUUGUUGUGAGGCUCG
rnacentral:rRNA from 1 species